CCGAGUUUACAACUCCCAAACCCCUGUGAACACACCACUUGUUGCCUCGGCGGGUCAGCCCGCUCCCGGUAAAACGGGACGGCCCGCCAGAGGACCCCUAAACUCUGUUUCUAUAUGUAACUUCUGAGUAAAACCAUAAAUAAAUCA
rnacentral:misc_RNA from 1 species